rnacentral:rRNA from 1 species
AACACGUGGGCAACCUGCCUGUAAGUUGGGGAUAACUCCGGGAAACCGGGGCUAAUACCGAAUGAUAAAGUGUGGCGCAUGCCACGCUUUUGAAAGAUGGUUUCGGCUAUCGCUUACAGAUGGGCCCGCGGUGCAUUAGCUAGUUGGUAGGGUAAUGGCCUACCAAGGCAACGAUGCAUAGCCGACCUGAGAGGGUGAUCGGCCACACUGGGACUGAGACACGGCCCAGACUCCUACGGGAGGCAGCAGUAGGGAAUCUUCCGCAAUGGACGAAAGUCUGACGGAGCAACGCCGCGUGUAUGAAGAAGGUUUUCGGAUCGUAAAGUACUGUUGUUAGAGAAGAACAAGGAUAAGAGUAACUGCUUGUCCCUUGACGGUAUCUAACCAGAAAGCCACGGCUAACUACGUGCCAGCAGCCGCGGUAAUACGUAGGUGGCAAGCGUUGUCCGGAUUUAUUGGGCGUAAAGCGCGCGCAGGCGGUCUUUUAAGUCUGAUGUGAAAGCCCCCGGCUUAACCGGGGAGGGUCAUUGGAAACUGGAAGACUGGAGUGCAGAAGAGGAGAGUGGAAUUCCACGUGUAGCGGUGAAAUGCGUAGAUAUGUGGAGGAACACCAGUGGC